GCGGAUGUGGCGGAAUUGGUAGACGCGCUAGCCUCAGGAGCUAGUCUAGGCAACUAGGUGGAGGUUCGAGUCCUCUCAUCCGCA
rnacentral:tRNA from 1 species